AACGGUCUAUACCUGCGGUACCUGCGGAAGGAUCAUUAUCGAUUCACAGGAUAGGGGAUGUGCUGGCAGGAGAGAUCUUCUGCACCGUGCACUCUUGCUUCCUUUACAUCUCUUGCAUUUGACCCUGUGCACCUUUUGUAGGUGGGAGUUUCAAAUUCCCACCUAUGUUUUUUGUAAACACGUCCUUUUCAUAUAAAUUUUUUAUAUUGAAAACCUCUGACAACUUUCAGCAACGGAUCU
rnacentral:misc_RNA from 1 species